rnacentral:rRNA from 1 species
GACGGGGCCCGGCACAAGCGUGGAGCAUGUGGUUUAAUUCGAUGAUACGCGAGGAACCUUACCUGGGCUCAAAUGUAUGUUGACGUAUUCUGAAAGGGAUACUUCUUUGGUACAAUAUACAAGGUGCUGCAUGGUUGUCGUCAGCUCGUGCCGUGAGGUGUCGGGUUAAGUCCCGUAACGAGCGCAACCCUUGUCCUUAGUUACCAGCACGUUAUGGUGGGCACUCUAAGGAGACUGCCGGUGACAAACCGGAGGAAGGUGGGGAUGACGUCAAGUCAUCAUGGCCCUUACGGCCUGGGCUACACACGUGCUACAAUGGUCGGUACAAAGGGUUGCCAAGCCGCGAGGUGGAGCUAAUCCCAUAAAACCGAUCGUAGUCCGGAUCGCAGUCUGCAACUCGACUGCGUGAAGUCGGAAUCGCUAGUAAUCGUGAAUCAGAAUGUCACGGUGAAUACGUUCCCGGGCCUU